rnacentral:lncRNA from 1 species
GGACUGGGAGGGCAAGGUGUGGAACCACCAUGCAGACUCUGGGGAGGUUUCUGGAACACUUCUGCUUUAUUCAGAAAACGCACAGGUUUAUGUAGGGUACAAAGAUGUUGUACGCUUUGCCUUGCUACGUAUAUCCAUAGCCUACAAGCUCAUCAGCCUAGCUCUGGGAAGUCUGCAGAUAAAGUCUGCAAUGCUCAUGCUACAAAUAAAACAGCUAAGACAAAGAAGUGACUGAGCUACCCAAAGCUCCACAAUGAAGGCCUG